CGCUGGCGGCAGGCUUAACACAUGCAAGUCGAGCGCCCGCAAGGGGAGCGGCAGACGGGUGAGUAACGCGUGGGAAUCUACCUAUCACUACGGAACAACUCCGGGAAACUGGAGCUAAUACCGUAUACGUCCGAGAGGAGAAAGAUUUAUCGGUGAUAGAUGAGCCCGCGUUGGAUUAGCUAGUUGGUGGGGUAAUGGCCUACCAAGGCGACGAUCCAUAGCUGGUCUGAGAGGAUGAUCAGCCACACUGGGACUGAGACACGGCCCAGACUCCUACGGGAGGCAGCAGUGGGGAAUAUUGGACAAUGGGCGAAAGCCUGAUCCAGCCAUGCCGCGUGAGUGAUGAAGGCCUUAGGGUUGUAAAGCUCUUUCACCGGUGAAGAUAAUGACGGUAACCGGAGAAGAAGCCCCGGCUAACUUCGUG
rnacentral:rRNA from 1 species